UGCUCGAAAAUGUUAAAGUUCUUAUUUCAUGGUAUAACUUUGGUAUGCUUGGACCUAGAGUCUUCAAACUUGACAUGAAGGUUGGCCAGGAUUAACAGAUGACCACUGGUCAUUUCAAGGUCAUUCAUUUGAAGGUCAAGUUCACUGUGACCUUGAAUGUAAAAAUGUUAAAGUUCUUAUUUCAUGGUAUAACUUUGGUAUGCUUGGACCUAGAGUCUUCAAACUUGACAUGAAGGUUGGCCAGGAUUAACAGAUGACCACUGGUCAUUUCAAGGUCAUUCAUUUGAAGGUGAAGGUCACUGUGACCUUCAAUAUAAAAAUGUUAAAGUUGUUAUAACUUUGGUAUGCUUGGACCUAGAGUCUUGAAACUUGACAUGAAGGUUGGCCAGAACUAGUAAGUAACCACUGGACAUUUCAAGGCCAUUCAUUUGAAGGUCAAGGUCACUGUGACCUUGAAUGUAAAAAUGUUAAAGUUGUUAUAACUUUGGUAUGCUUGGACCUAGAGUCUUGAAACUUGACAUGAAGGUUGGCCAGAACUAGUAAGUAACCACUGGACAUUUCAAGGUCAUUCAUUUGAAGGUCAAGGUCACUGUGACCUUGAAUGUAAAAAUGUUAAAGUUCUUAUUUCAUGUUAUAACUUUGGUAUGCUUGUACCUAGAGUCUUCAAACUUGAAAUAAAGAUUGGCCAGUACUAGAAGAUGACCACUGGUCAUUUCAAGGUCAUUCAUUUGAAGGUCAAGGUCACUGUGACCUUGAAUGUAAAAAUGUUAAAGUUCUUAUUUCAUGGUAUAACUUUGGUAUGCUUGGACCUAGAGUCUUCAAACUUGACAUGAAGGUUGGCCAGGAUUAACAGAUGACCACUGGUCAUUUCAAGGUCAUUCAUUUGAAGGUGAAGGUCACUGUGACCUUCAAUAUAAAAAUGUUAAAGUUGUUAUAACUUUGGUAUGCUUGGACCUAGAGUCUUGAAACUUGACAUGAAGGUUGGCCAGAACUAGUAAGUAACCACUGGACAUUUCAAGGUCAUUCAUUUGAAGGUCAAGGUCACUGUGACCUUGAAUGUAAAAAUGUUAAAGUUGUUAUAACUUUGGUAUGCUUGGACCUAGAGUCUUGAAACUUGACAUGAAGGUUGGCCAGAACUAGUAAGUAACCACUGGACAUUUCAAGGUCAUUCAUUUGAAGGUCAAGGUCACUGUGACCUUGAAUGUAAAAAUGUUAAAGUUCUUUUUUCAUGUUAUAACUUUGGUAUGCUUGUACCUAGAGUUUUCAAACUUGAAAUAAAGAUUGGCCAGUACUAGAAGAUGACCACUGGUCAUUUCAAUGUCAUUCAUUUGAAGGUCAAGGUCACUGUGACCUUAAAUGUUAAAAUGUUCAAAUUGUUAUAACUUUGGUAUGCUUGGACAUAGAGUCUUCAAACUUGACAUGAAGGUUUGCAAGCACACUUAGAUGACCACUGGUCAUUUCAAGGUCAUUCAUUCUAAGGUCAAGGUCACUGUGACCUUGAAUGUAAAAAUGUUAAAGUUCUUAUAACUUUGGUAGGUAAAAAUGUUAAAGUUCUUAUUCCAUGUUAUAACUUUGGUAUGCUUGUACCUAGAGUCUUCAAACUUGACAUAAAGGUUGGCCAGUACUAGAAGAUCACCACUGCUCAUUUCAAUGUCAUUCAUUUGAAGGUCAAGGUCACUGUGACCUUCAAUGUUAAAAUGUUAAAAUUGUUAUAACUUUGGUAUGCUUGGACCUAGAAUCUCAAACUUGACGUAAAGGUUUGCAAGCACACUUAGAUGACCACUGGUCAUUUCAAGGUCAUUCAUUUCAAUGUCAUUCAUUUGAAGGUCAAGGUCACUGUGAACUUAAAUGUUAAAAUGUUAAAAUUGUUGUAACUUUGGUACUUUCCUGUCAUUUAAAUCAAAAAUCCGGCUUCAAUGCGGUCAUCUCCGACCGCGGAACUCUUGU